rnacentral:rRNA from 1 species
GGUGAGAUCUCAUUGCCGUUAAACCUUUUUAUUUUACAGGUUGACCUCGGAUCAGGUAGGGAUA